rnacentral:lncRNA from 1 species
GGAGAGACCUGCAAAUCCGGGCUGGCCGUGCAAAUCCGGGCUCAUUGUCAGGCUGGCAGCAUUGGCCAGGCCUGAGUAAAUCAAGUGAAACAGAAGACAGAUGGAUGUGACCAAGUUAUUGCCAAGAGGAAACAGACAAGGAUCUUGCUCUGUUACCCAGGCUGGAAGACAGUGGUGUGGACACAGCUCACUAUGGCCUGGACCGUCCUGGGAUGAAGCGAUCCUCCCACCUCAGCCUCCCAAGUAGCUAGAUCUAUAGACACAUGCCACUAUGCCAGGCUAAUUAUUUUAUUUUUUUGUAGAGAUGGGGUCUCACUUUUUUGCUCAGGUUGGUCCCAAACUCCUGGUCUCAAGUGAUCCUCCUGCCUCAGCCUCCCCAAGUGCUGGGAUUACCCCUGUGCCUAAAGUCUAUUUUUUUUUUUUCUUUAAGGAUCUCUUACCAUCUUUGAGAAGAGUAUCUUGUAUGAAUUGUAGAGACGCAUGAUAGAAGUCAGGAAGAGUGGCUGGGUUGAGGGAGGCUUUUUAUUGCAAUAAUCCAGGUGUCAGGGGACAAGAAGCAGGACUAGGACAUUAAUAGCUGGGAUGGAGAGAUUAGGGAACUUUCGAAAGCAAAUGGAGGAAAGGGUAAAGUCAGGGUGUGGUAGCUAGUUUCUAAAGAUUGUUCCCAGUGAACCACACCCAGUAGUGUUGUCUCACAUUGAUUCUGGACUGGGCCAUUCAAACUGAGGGAAUGAGGCAAGAUGGUACUACGUUGACUUCUCAUGACUUCCAAGGCUAGGUUGGAGGAAGGUUUGCCUGGGCCUCUUGGAAUGAGAACCCAGCUCUCACGCCGUGAGAAGCCCAAACCACCCAGCUGAGCUCCUAGCUACCAGCCAGCAUCACCCACCAGCCACAGGAGUGAGCCAUCUUGGGCAGCUAGUCCAGCUGAGCCAUGAGAUGACGGCAGCCCCAGACAACAUCUGUCCUUAAUGACCUAAGAUAACCCAACAAGAACUACCUGCCUGAGCCAAUGGACCUCCAGAAUCAGGAAGGACAAUCAGACGCCGCCUCCCCACCAGCUCAUCUAUAAAACCUCCUGCAUUUCACCGCGGAUCCGGCAACCCAUUUUUCUGAGACCCCUCUCUGCAGCAGAGAACUCUUCUCUUUCUUUUGCAUAUUAAACUUCCGCUCUCAACCUCAA